rnacentral:lncRNA from 1 species
AAAUUCAAAUUUGUUUUGUUGAAAUGACUCAUUAUUUUGUGGCAUUUCAAUUAGAUCAUCAUUAUCAUCGUUUUCUACAAGAGAAAAUGUAGGCUCGGAUUCACAAGGUUCCUUACUCAUAACAGGAGUAUGAUCAGAUAAAGAAUCAUGGCCAUUUUCUGUUGGUGCAGGUGUAAAAAUCUUAGACUUUUGUGAUACUGACAAAGAUAAGUUAUUUAAAAAACUCAUGUCCUCAAUUUUAAACGAG